GCUCUGGGAUAGCUCAGUUGGUAGAGCAUGAGAUUCUUAAUCUUAAUCUCAGGUCAGGGUUGUUGUGGGUUCAAGAUCUAUGUUGGGCA